rnacentral:snoRNA from 1 species
GGCCAGUGAUGUGAUCAAAUAUUUGCUACUCUUGAUGGGUUUCAAGGAAUCCAUCUGAUGAUUAGUAUCCACCAAGAUCUCUGAGGGC